GAUUAGGUCGCAAAGAGGUUUUGCAUUGCACUGCAAAUGCAAUUGACGGCGGUUCGAAUCCGCCCCUAAUCU
rnacentral:tRNA from 1 species